rnacentral:rRNA from 1 species
AACGAACGCUGGCGGCAUGCCUAACACAUGCAAGUCGAACGAGACCUUCGGGCCUAGUGGCGCACGGGUGCGUAACGCGUGGGAACUUGCCCUUAGGUUCCGAAUAACUCCCUGUAAGGGGUCUUAAUACCGGUUAAGCUCUUCCGACCUAAGAUUUAUUGCCUUUGGAUGGGCGCGGGUUGGAUUCGCCAGUUGGUAGGGUAAAAGCCUGUCAUGGCGUCGUUCCUGGGCUGGUGGGAGAAGAGGCUUAUCCGCACUGGGACUGAGACACGGCCGAGACUCCUACGCAAGGCAGCAGUAGGGAAUAUUAGACGAGGGGCGAUAACCUGAUACAGCAGUGCCGCGUAAGUGAUGAAGGGCGUAGGGUUGUAAAGCUCUUUUUGCCGAGGUGAUAGUGACAGUACCGGGAGAAUAAGCUCCGGCUAACUACGUG